GAUGAACGCUGGCGGCGUGCCUAAUACAUGCAAGUCGAACGAACAGACGAGGAGCUUGCUCCUCUGACGUUAGCGGCGGACGGGUGAGUAACACGUGGAUAACCUACCUAUCAGACUGGGAUAACUUCGGGAAACCGGUGCUAAUACCGGAUAAUAUAUUGAACCGCAUGGUUCAAUAGUGAAAGACGGUUUUGCUUUCUCUUGUAGAUGGAUCCGCGCGGCAUUAGCUAGUUGGUAAGGUAACGGCUUACCAAGGCAGCGAUGCGUAGCCGACCUGAGAGGGUGAUCGGCCACACUGGAACUGAGACACGGUCCAGACUCCUACGGGAGGCAGCAGUAGGGAAUCUUCCGCAAUGGGCGAAAGCCUGACGGAGCAACGCCGCGUGAAUGAUGAAGGUCUUCGGAUCGUAAAACUCUGUUAUUAGGGAAGAACAAAUGUGUAAGUAACUAUGCACGUCUUGACGGUACCUAAUCAGAAAGCCACGGCUAACUACGUG
rnacentral:rRNA from 1 species